AGCGGGGCCCAUCCCGUAAGGCUAAAUACUCCCGAGAGACCGAUAGCGAACCAGUACUGUGAAGGAAAGGUGAAAAGAACCUCGAACAGAGGAGUGAAACAGACCCUGAAACCAUGCGCCUACAAGCGGUCGGAGCAUGUUAAAAUGUGACGGCGUGCCUUUUGCAUAAUGAACCUACGAGUUACUCUCGCUGGCAAGGUUAAGCGAUUCAGUCGCGCAGCCGAAGCGAAAGCAAGUCCGAACAAGGCGUACAGUCAGCGGGAGUAGACGCGAAACCAAGUGAUCUACCCUUGGUCAGGUUGAAGGUUGGGUAACACCAACUGGAGGACCGCACCGAUAAGCGUUGAAAAGCUUACGGAUGAACUGAGGGUAGGAGUGAAAGGCCAAUCAAACUUGGAGAUAGCUCGUACUCCCCGAAAUGCAUUUAGGUGCAGCCUCGAAGUAAAGUGAUAGAGGUAGAGCGACUGAUAAGAUGCGAGGGCUUCACCGCCUAUCAAGUCUUGACAAACUCCGAAUACUAUCACUUGAUCUUCGGGAGUGAGGGCAUGGGUGCUAAGGUCCAUGUCCGAAAGAGGAACAACUCAGACCACCAGCUAAGGUCCCGAAAUAAGGGCUAAGUUGAAUAAACGAAGUAAAACUGCAAAGACAGCUAGGAUGUUGGCUUGGAAGCAGCCAUUCAUUUAAAGAGUGCGUAACAGCUCACUAGUCGAGGAGUUUUGCAUGGAUAAUAAUCGGGCAUAAGCCCUUUACCGAAGCUGUGGAUGUCGUAAGACAUGGUAGGGGAGCAUUCCGGCGGCGACGAAGGCCGUCCUCGAGGACGACUGGAGCUUUCGGAAAAGCAAAUGUAGGUAUAAGUAACGAUAAAGGGGGCGUGAAACCCCCUCGCCAUAAGACUAAGGAUUCCUGAUCAACGCUAAUCGGAUCAGGGUAAGUCGGGCCCUAAGGCGCAGCCGAACGGCGUAGCCGAUGGAAGAAACGGUAAAGAUUCCGUUACUGGAUAUAGGAGCGAUGUGGAGACGGAGAAGUGACACACCCGCCUGCCGACGGAAGCGCAGGUUAAAGGAAGUAGGUAAACGCCGGGUAGGCAAAUCCGCCUGGCGUGCCGAAGCUGACAGUAUCGAGAGCCCCCGGGCAAUCGAAUAGCGGUGGUAAUCAGGCUCCCAAGAAAAUCCGCUAAGCAUAUUCUAUAUCCACCCGUACCCCAAACGGACACACGUAGUCGGGUAGAAUAUACCAAGGCGCUCGAAAGACUCACGGUUAAGGAACUAGGCAAAUUGACCCUGUAACCUCGGGAAAAAGGGUCCCCAGUAAGAUGGGGCGCAGAGAAUAGGUCCAGGCAACUGUUUAACAAAAACACAGGGCUGUGCAAAAUUUCAAGAUGAAGUAUACAGCCUGACACCUGCCCGGUGCCGGAAGGUUAAGAGGAGAGCUAAUCGCAAGAGAAGGCUUGAAUUGAAGCCCCGGUAAACGGCGGCCGUAACUAUAACGGUCCUAAGGUAGCGAAAUUCCUUGUCGG
rnacentral:rRNA from 1 species